AUAUACAUGUUGAAAAAGAGUAGUAAUUCAUAAGUCAAUUAUAGAGAGAUGGUGUUUGGUGAAAACCAUCAUUGAUUUAGGAUGAAUGGAGCUUUUGAGUGUAAGAUUAUUAGUGAAGAAAGAUGGGCCUAAGCCAAGAAGGGUGGAACCGCGGAAUUAUAAUUUCGUCCCUUUG
rnacentral:ncRNA from 1 species